rnacentral:rRNA from 1 species
CCUACGGGAGGCAGCAGUAGGGAAUUUUCGUCAAUGGGCGCAAGCCUGAACGAGCAAUGCCGCGUGAACGAGGAAGGUCUUCGGAUCGUAAAGUUCUGUUGAAGGGGAAAAAGAGCGGAGAGAGGAAAUGGUCUCCGAUUGAUAUUACCCUUCGAGGAAGUCACGGCUAACUACGUGCCAGCAGCCGCGGUAAUACGUAGGUGGCGAGCGUUAUCCGGAGUGAGUGGGGGUAAAGGGUGCGUAGGCGGCCUGCUAAGUCUGGAGUGAAAGGUACCGGCUCAACCGGUACAGGCUCUGGAAACUGGCGGGCUAGAGAGCAGGAGAGGGCGGUGGAACUCCAUGUGUAGCGGUAAAAUGCUUAGAUAUAUGGAAGAACACCAGUGGCGAAGGCGGCCGCCUGGCCUGUUUCUGACGCUGAGGCACGAAAGCGUGGGGAGCAAAUAGGAUUAGAUACCCCGGUAGUC